GUUCCCCAAAUAUGAACAAUAUGAGAAUUUUAAUACAAAAGAAACACAAAGAAAUCAAGUUUUGGUUUGUUUUGAGAUGUAGAGGUGACAUACAGCAAAAAGUAAAGGAAUUUAUCCAUAAUCAAUAAUCAUAAUCACGUUUAAUCAAUAAGAAUUAAUUAUAUCAACUAUUAUUUCUUUUCAAGUCCUCACUACAGUGUUUCCAUACUUAUUUUCCAAUGAAAGAAGCCAGUGUCGUACCUUACAUUCAGUGAAAGUUCAAUGUAAAAGCAACAUUUCUCAUUCGGUCUCAGAUUCGGAGUGCGACUCAAACAGGUUUCUUUCUCAUGAAAAUCCUGCACUGAUUUCGUUUCAGCGCUUCAAACGAACAGUAGCUGUUGUAGGUAUGAGAACCACAUCUACAUACAAUUCAAGUUAGAAUACUCAUGAAAAAAUUAAUACAGUAAUUAACAUCACCUCAACCGACACCGGGCGACUGUUUCUUAUCGUCACACUCUUAAAACAGAUAUGAAAG